rnacentral:lncRNA from 1 species
AUUGCAUGUUGACAAGAUGGAUGUUCUGUAAUCAUUUCCUGAUUCCAGGACAAGCAGUCUGCUUGUUCUGGGUGCUUCUCUGCAUUCCUUCUGAAGGAUCGGGUUUAUAUUGGGGUGGGGUGUUGUUGGAGGACCAGAGAGCUGCAUUGACCAAGGGUGCCUAUUAGCCUUUGCUUAGUACUUUAUGGCUGUUUCUGGACAGGGAGAGUCUGGCCAUAGCACCCCCAGGCACUGGUGACCUUGAAACUGGACUACUGUAAUGCACUCUAUGUGGAGCUUCUUUGGAAGUUGGUCCAGAAAUUUCAGCUGAUGCAAAAUUCAGUCGCUACGUUGUUGAGUGGUGCAACUUAUCACAAGCACGCCACCUCUUUGCUGAAACCGCUGCACUGACUGCCCAUGGGAUAAGAGACUGCAUGUAGUAUCUUAUCAAGAGGUCCAUUCUGCACAAGACAGGAAUCAAGACUUUCGUGUUGUAGCACCUACCCUUUGGAAUUCCCUCCUGUUAAAAUAUCAGAAGGCAGUGUCUCUGCUCCCUUUUCAGCACCUACUGAAGACCUUCCCCUUGCAGCAAGUUUUCUAAGUAGAGAUUUUUCUUAAUCUGCAUCCGUAUUAGAAUUGUUUUUAGGGGUUUCAACUGUUUUAUUGCUUGUUUGUUUGCCAGCCUUGGCUCCUUUGGGAGGAAGGAUGGGGUAUAUAUUUAAAUAAUAAUUUUUAAGAAAGGAAUAUGAACAAAACAACUUGGGAUGCAGUUACCUGAGGGAGCACUUUCCCCCAUACCAAGCUACCCACUCAUUCAGAUUUCAAAGAAGGCUGCCCUCAUUUUUCCACAGCUUGUGGAAAUUCAUUUUGCAGAAGCCAAGGAAAGGGCAUUUUCUGUGCAGCAACCAGCCUUUGGAAUCAUCUCCCCUCUGAAACAAGGCAAGUGCCAAACUUGAUGUGUUUUUUGCUCCUGUUAAGGACUUGCCUUUUCACCCAAGCAUUUUUGCCAAGCUUUUAGUAAUUAUUCUGACUUACUGUGGAUGUUGCAUUUUUAUUCAGAAUGCAUUUAUAUUGUUGUGAACCAGCCUGGUUUAUUAUUAUUAUUAUUUCAAAAUGAUGCUUGUAGAGUUAAUGAUCUUGUAGAGUUGUUUGCUGAGAUGCUUACAAUGAUUUGAAUUGCUUUGAACGCUCUAGAAUGCUGCACAAAUGGUUAAGAUUAUUCUUGACAUUUGAUUCUACAUAUAGGCUGCAAUCCUAUACACACUUACUUGGGAGUAAGUCACUAUAAACUCAGCUGGGCUGAGGACAGAUGUGCACAGAAUUGAUUUGUUAGUCAAAGAGAGGCAAUAUAUUACUUCAAAUAAUUUUGUGGGUGUGGAGUGUUAUUUUCUUUGCCACAACUCUCUUUCCACAACCCCUAAAGCUAGUGAUAAUAUAUUAUUGCUUUUAAUUUCAUUGCAGUUCCUGCUUCCCAGUCACAGGCGUUGUCAAACACUUGUCACUUUGCACUAAGGCAGCAGAAAACAUUCAAAGCACAUCUUGAAUCCAAUCAGCUUUCGUUGUUGAAAGGUUCUGCACACAUGGACACAGGAUAUUUAUACAGGUGCAAAUUUUACAAAUGUGCUGCUUCCUUACCCAGAAGGAAGCCAUUAGGGUUCAGAAGGAGGAGGCCAGACUUACUCUUGCACACAUAAGUGGGUUUUUUUUAAAAAAAGAGAGGGGGUGACAUAAUCCAGUCAUAGCUGAGCACCUUGAAGAUACAGUGAUUUCAGUGGUAAAGUUAAUUGCAUCAAUGGGACUUCACAGUGUUUAAUUUUUGCUAGGUGGUGCCCAGCUUCUUUAGGGAUAGCAAUGUAGUAUUUUACGACAAAAUUAUAAUCUGUAGCCUAGAAAAGUUAUUUUCUUGCUCUGUAGAAUACAAAAUAAAUUUGGACCUUGUAUUAGAACAGA